UCGGGCCAGGGACUAGGGCGGGGCCUGCGAAGGAGAGAGGGAAUGAGGCUGGAGGCGGGGCCAGAACCGGGAAGUUGAUUAGACAGUGAGGGUGGGGCCAGCACCCGCGCCCAGAUGGGAUCUGGCUGGCUAUGGGGCCUGGGAGGGGGCCUUCACCGCGCUGAGCGACAGGAGGCCGGGUCCCCACCGCCUAAUCUCUGUCAUCCACCUGGGCAGGUCUGAGGCCCAGAGAAAGGGCCGCCGCCUGCCCCCUACACCCCCUGGGGUUCCCCGGACCCUCACAGGUGUUGUAGGCCUUCUUAUGGGACAGGAUCUCCACCACCUCCUUCUUCCGGAAGGGCUCCGGCCCCGGCACCGGUUCUGGAAAAGAAACUGACAGUUUACGGAGGCGGCUAGGCUGAGGCUGCAGUGGGAAGGCCCAGGGGUGGCGUGGUCACAGCCAACAGCCACUAUCCCCCUAAGCACGACCUCGACUUAAUCAGCUACACGUCCAUAGUCCCUUCAUUCCUCAGGUCGGGGACCUUCAGGUCCUGUGUGUAACCUCCCCCGCCCCGUGUCCUGUGCACUCCCCGUGCUGCAGGAAGCCAGGUCUUUCUGUUCCAUCCUGGGACCGCCUGUUCCACCCAUCAACGACAGGGAGAUACCCAGGAAGGGGUGAGGGCAAGAGAGCCUGGAAGAUGUAUUUGUGGAUGCCUCCUGUCUACGGUGUGACUGAGCAAAUUACCUGACCUCUCUGUGCUUCCUCAUUAGGAAGUGGGGGGUGAUCACAUUAUGUACAUCACAGAGUUGCCAUGGGAUUUAGAAAUGAGAGUCCCUGGUGUUUGAUCACUGCACAGUAAAUGCCAGCUUUUUUUUUUUUUUUUUUUUUAGACGGGGUCUCACUGUGUCACCCAGGUUACCAGGUCGGAGUGCAGUGGUGUGAUCGCGGCUCACUGCAACCUCCACCUCCGAGGCUCAAUCGAUCCUCCCAACUCAGCCUCCCAAGUAGCUGGGACCACAGACAUCCUCCAUGUGCCUGGCUAAUUUUUUGUAUUUUCGGUAGAGACAAGGGUUUCGCCACGUUGCCCAGGCUGGUCUCGAACCCCUGAGCUCAGGCGAUCCACCCACCUCAGCCUCCCAAAGUGCUGGGAUGACAGGCGUGAGCCACUGUGCCCGGCCUAAAUGCCAGCUAUUAAAUAACUCAGGGACUGAAGGCUUGAGGACGCAUCAGGUUAAAUAGUAGUCAGUGCAGCCCUGGGAGAUGCUAAGCCUGGGGCUGCCACAGAUGGUGUGGUAUCUGGGGUUCCCCCAAGGCCAUCAGGCCACUCACUAGCAGGUUUCUGGGUGCCGAAGUGGAGCUCCAGGUCGAGGUAUUUCACCAUGUCACUCAGCUUAUCGUAGUCAGAGUCUUCCCCGAGCUGCGAGGGAGGAUGGGAGGUUCAGAGUAGGAGGAGCAGCAGCAGCUGGACUGGCCUCCCACUUCCCACCCUCUGAGGGCUGCCAUAGGGGCUUCCCGAGCAAAAGCACCCAUCAGGUGCUGGGAUAAAGCCCGGAGCAGGAGGAGACUGCAGGAGAAGCCAGAUCAUCCGAGUCACCGGGUGCUGAGCCAGCGCCUCCUGGGGUCAAUCGAGACUCAAGACUUGGAACACUACUCGUGCAGAAGCCAGCAAGGUCUCCUUGGAGAGCGGUGAGUUCACCAGGGCUGCCCUGGGCAGAGUGAGCUGGUGCUGAGAGAACUGCAACUGUGACAGCCUAGGGGCCAGACGCUGGACACGUGGCUGUGAUGAAUGGCAUAGAUGAGAGACCGCCACACCUCGCCUCACCCGCCUCCCUCCACACCUGCUUGCGUGCCCACCUCCUCGUAGUCGUUCUCCGGGGUCAGGAAAUCAUCCACGAUGGUGACCCGGGGGCCCAGCUGCUCGCUCAGCACGUCCAGGAAGCGAGAUGGGGCCUCACUAUGUUGCCAGGCUGGUCUCAAACUCCUGGGCUCCAUUGAUCCUCCUGCCUCGGCCUCCCAAAGUGCUGGGAUUACAGGCACGACCCACGGUACCCAGGCUACUUUCUUGAUCCACAGCUGAGGAGAAACCAGGCCAUACAGAGAUAGGAGCUGAAGGGACACGGUGAGAAGUGACCAAAAGACAAGAGUGUGAGCCCUCCGUUAUGCCUGGACAGGGCCACUAGAGGGCUCCCUGGUCUACUGGUAACGCCAGUGCCUGGGAAGGCACCCGUUGCUUAGCAGACCGGGAAAGGGAGUCUCCCUUUCCUGGUGGAGUUAAAGAAGACUCUGCUCCACCACUGCUUGCCCGCCCGCAGCCACCCAGAGGCCUAACGCUGUCCCUGUGAUGCUGUGCUUCAGUGGUCACGCUCCUGGUCCGCAUUCAUGUUCUGCCCUGUGCACUCGGCUCCACCUUCUAGAUAGCAGCAGCAGAAUUAGUGAAAGUACUAAAGUCUUUAAAAUGCAUAGAAGAAAUAAUUACGUAAGCUGUCCCCUCUUUCUCUCCGCCUCAGCUACCAAAUAGGGAAGGGCCCCCUGUCUGGCGGACACGUGACUCACAUGACCUUACCUAUCAUUGGAGAUGACUCUCACUCCAUACCCUGCCCCUUUGCCUUGUACACAAUAAAUAACAGCACGGCCAGGCAUUCGGGGCCACUACUGGUCUCCGCGUCUUGGUGGUAGUGGUCCCCCGGGCCCAGCUGUCUUUUCUUCUA